rnacentral:misc_RNA from 1 species
UGUCAAAGUGCGUAAACGUCAAGUGAAUUGAUUAGACUUCUUGAUCGUUUCGGUUUUUCACGGCGGAAAGUUAGAGUUUAGGUUUAAUGGGUGCUUUAAUGAGUAGGCAGAAUGCGGCUAUCGAAGAAGCCGAUGUUGGAUCUAAUCACGCAUAUAAAUAUCCUCCGAAGUCAGGAAAUUACUUCGGAACCCAUUUCAUAAUGGGCGGGGAACGUUUCGAUACACCUCAGCCUGAGGCGUAUCUAUUUGGUGAGAAUGCCGAUUUGAAUUUUUUAGGCAGUCGCCCGACUGCGUUCCCAUAUCCUCCGCCUCAAGCUAACGAACCAACAAAAACUUUAAAAAGUUUAGUGAACAUUCGUAAGGAAUCGGUUCGUUUUGUUAAAACAUCAGAAACUAAUUUGAUGAAUAUUGAGUUCAUAUUUGACUCGGAUGCCAAAUGUGCAAUCACCAUCUACUACUUUUGCUCGGAGGAAGUUACUCCAAAUGGUGUUAUUCUGACUCCACGUGACCCAUCGCUUAAUUCUGAAACAUAUCGAUAUAAACGCGGCGUUACGCAAUCAUUUUCCCAGCCCACACACAUGUUUAAUCCCAAUCUGUAUUCGGAAGAAGAUCUUUGUUACAACCCAGAGAAAGAUUGCUAUCCAAUAGCGAUUCACUGUGUUGUUGAUGAAGGUGCUGAAGGUAAACAGUUGCGACAAUCACAUACGACCAUUUGCGUAGUGGAUCAUCAUGCUGACGGCACAUACGCGCUGCGAGCAUUAAAACAAAAAAUAUUUGUCGAUGGUCUUUGUUACCUGUUGCAGGAAAUCUAUGGGAUUGAAAAUAAAGCGAUCAACAAGCCAACGAUCGAUGAUGAUAGUGAUGAGAAUGGAAGUGAAUGUGUGAUAUGUAUGAGCGAAACUAGAGAUACUCUGAUACUACCUUGUCGUCACUUGUGUUUAUGUAAUUCGUGCGCUGACUCACUUCGAUAUCAAGCUAAUAAUUGUCCGAUAUGCCGAGCUCCAUUCCGAGCCCUUCUGCAAAUUCGUGCCGUUCAAAAGAGUUUGAAUACAACGAUUACGAACGCAGCUGCUCAGAAUCCUUCAGAUCCUAACUGCGAACACAUUCCCCCUGGAUAUACUCCUGUAUCUUUGAUUGAAGCAUUGAAUGGCCCUCCUGCGAUCACAGGACGAUCUCUUUCUAACGAUGGAUCAGAUACGUUGGACGCGGUUCAAGCCAUUGAAAUUCUCAAUAAAUCCCGAGAUAAAAACGAUAAACAAAGCACUCCCCGUGGUGAGAAACGUUCCAAGGAUAAAAAUUCUACUCCAGCAGAGUUUCGAAUGUCUGUGCUGCUAACAAAAGAGAAUGAGGAGACUCCAGCUGACACGGGUAGCAAACAACAGAAUGGAGUCGUACGCAAUGAUUGCGAGAAAGCGUCAAAAGAGAAGCUAUGCCAUAGUCGAAAUCAUAGCCGAGAAAGCGUUCAGAUAAUCAAUGAGCGCAACAAUUCAAAAAGAACGCAAUUAGAAGGGGAUGAAGACAGUGAUAAUGAAAAUUUGUCACCUCUUUUAAAUUCACAAACGCUGAAAGUGUCAAAUUCAGCUUUGCAUAUUGACGGCGUUGAAGAAUCAAUCGAUGACACCGACACAGACGCCGACGAUACAUCAGAAAAGGCUUCACAACGGCGAAUUUUCAAAAGCAAGAGUCAUGCAUGGCCAAUCACUAUUUUUUGUUAGUUUUCAAUGAAAUAAAUUCACACGAAACAUAUGAACUUCUAAUAAAAUGCACUUAAAAUCUUUUCGCGUACUUCGAACACAAGUCUAAGGGCAGUGAAAAGACAAUUUCAAAAGAAAACGUAACUGUUAAAGCGCCAUCAACCACGACCAUAGCAUCAACAGCUCUCAAGGAAAACAUCAACUCCUUACCAGAUAGUCCAAUCAGUGGCAAUUCUUCGUCAACCCGAAGUUC